UGUGUAGGCGGCUCCCUAAGUUUGGUGUGAAAUCUCCCGGCUCAACCGGGAGGGUGCGCCGAAUACUGUGGGGCUAGAGUGCGGGAGAGGAAAGUGGAAUUCCUGGUGUAGCGGUGAAAUGCGUAGAUAUCAGGAGGAACACCGGUGGUGUAGACGGCUUUCUGGACCGUAACUGACGCUGAGACACGAAAGCGUGGGUAGCAAACAGGAUUAGAUACCCUGGUAGUCCACGCCCUAAACGAUGCAUAUUUGGUGUGGGUCAUUCAGUUGAUCCGUGCCGGAGCUAACGCGUUAAAUAUGCCGCCUGGGGAGUACAGUCGCAAGGCUGAA
rnacentral:rRNA from 1 species